GGUUGUGAUCAUACCAGCACUAAAGCACCGGAUCCUAUCAGAACUCCUAAGUUAAGCAUGCUUAGGCAAGAGUAGUACUAGGAUGGGUGACCCCUUGGGAAGUCCUCGUGUUGCACUCC
rnacentral:rRNA from 15 species